UACGGAGGGGGCUAGCGUUGUUCGGAAUUACUGGGCGUAAAGCGUACGUAGGCGGAUGCGCAAGUUGGGGGUGAAAUCCCGGGGCUUAACCUCGGAAUUGCCCUCAAAACUGUGUGUCUUGAGGCCGAGAGAGGUAAGGGGAAUUCCUAGUGUAGAGGUGAAAUUCGUAGAUAUUAGGAAGAACACCAGUGGCGAAGGCGCCUUACUGGCUCGGUACUGACGCUGAGGUACGAAAGCGUGGGGAGCAAACAGGAUUAGAUACCCUGGUAGUCCACGCCGUAAACGAUGAGUGCUAGAUGUUGGGGCCCUUAGGGUCUCAGUGUCGCAGCUAACGCGUUAAGCACUCCGCCUGGGGAGUACGGCCGCAAGGUUAAA
rnacentral:rRNA from 1 species